AAUUUGCGUUAAGGAUAGAAGUGGAAAUCCUUUUUAAAGGCACGAAUAAAAAGGUUGCAACGAAUAGCCUGAUCAGUA
rnacentral:sRNA from 1 species